CCCACCCGAGGAGCCCACCUGAACCUGCCGGGGCCUCAGAAAGCCGACGGCACACGCAGAGUGUCUGUGAUGUGCAAUGAAGAGGCUGAUGUUCCUUAAAGUUACCAAGAUAAAUGCCAGCGAUACGGCUCUAUUUCAUAAUCAGCAGCAGAACAGAACUGGCAAGCCUAGACUGAUCUCUGUGGCAGGCACUGACAAAAAUCUCACUAAUUCCAGUUUCCAUUAUGCAGCCUGAUCCAGUCCUAAUAACAUCACUGCAAAAACUCCUGUGCAUUUGA